rnacentral:rRNA from 1 species
UACGUAGGGGGCAAGCGUUGUCCGGAUUCAUUGGGCGUAAAGAGCUCGUAGGCGGUUCGGCAAGUCGGGUGUGAAACCUCCAGGCUCAACCUGGAGACGCCACCCGAUACUGCUGUGACUUGAGUCCGGUAGGGGACCACGGAAUUCCUGGUGUAGCGGUGAAAUGCGCAGAUAUCAGGAGGAACACCGGUGGCGAAGGCGGUGGUCUGGGCCGGCACUGACGCUGAGGCGCGAAAGCUAGGGGAGCAAACAGG